AGGAUAAUAAUUUAAAAAAAAUAUUUAAUUUGCAAUUAAAAAAUAUUGUAAAAAAUUUAUCUUU
rnacentral:tRNA from 1 species